GAAUGUGAAACAAAUGAGUUAUGAUAAGGGGAGAGCACAAGCACACUCCCUUACCUGUCUGCAUACCAACGAGGACUCUGUGACAACGUUGAUGGAUUUGCCCACAAUUUCUGUGGAAACUUGCUCACGGACCUCCCUCCCAACCCCCCCCAAGCCUAUCUCACUCACUCACUGACUGACUCCGGAAGAGAUGGGCUUUGAUACAUCUCGUGUCGACUUUGGAUCAAGGUUACGUGCACUCUUCUCAAUGCUGUGGAGUGGAGGAUCAAAGUAUGGAAGCACAAUAGGUAAGCAUGUCAUAUAUCAUGUAAAUUAGGCCUCUCCACCAAAGUGCCAUCUACCCUUUGAGAUGAAAGAGAUUGUUCUGUAUUUUUUCCCCCUCUCCAUUGCCAUUAUGUCCAAACACAAACACAACGAGUACAUCGGACUGCCCUACUAUUAUUGUGAGUACUGCUGGAUAUCUUAUUUCCUCUGUCUGCUCUGCCAUUAUUGUGCAUAUCGCCGAGUGGCUGCUUUUUACUGCCAACAGAACACACACUGGAAAAGCUGCAUUUGUAAGUGAUUCUUCAAACUGCCUCAAAUCAACAGAUUUGUUGGCAAAGUUACUCCCCGUGAGAGAGUCCAACAGGACCCUGGUGCCCACCUUUAACUGCCAUUCUUUUAUUUCCAUUGGCUUGCAUGUAAUUGUGUUACGGGGAAAGGGGGGCCCUUUGUUGUCCUAAUGCCAGGAAGUCAUCACCAUUGACCUUGAAGAGCAUCCUGGGGUCUGCCUAAUUGAGUCCCCUGCAAAACCAUUUGGAAGCUAAUGACAGCCAAGAGCGAACAAGGGUCCAUCGGAAAGAUCACGUCAAAAUCAAAAGUAAAACAGAUCCUAAAAACUGGAUGAUGAUGGAAAUCUGUUUCAUUGUGGGGAAAGCCAGCCAUGGUGCUGCUACUGGCCUGGAUCCUCAGGUAAUUACAUCCACUGUUCACUCAGCCACGCUCAGCCAAGGAAGGAAUAGCGACAAUGGCGGCACCUUCUAUCCCAUAAUUACCUUUAAUAACAGGCUGUUUAUUAUUCAAGCUCAUCUGGCAAUUAG
ensembl:lncRNA